UACGUAGGGGGCGAGCGUUGUCCGGAGUUACUGGGCGUAAAGCGCACGUAGGCGGUCUGCUAAGUUCGGAGUGACAGUCACCAGCUUAACUGGUGAAGGACUUUGAAAACUGGAGGACUUGAGAGCGAAAGAGGGACAUGGAAUUCCGGGUGGAGCAGUGAAAUGCGUAGAGAUCCGGAGGAACACCAAAGGCGAAGGCAGUGUCCUGGCUCGUUUCUGACGCUGAGGUGCGAAAGCCAGGGGAGCGAACGGG
rnacentral:rRNA from 1 species